UACGCACAUCUAUAUACAUUUUACAGGUGCUGGAUACUGGGAAUACUAAGUAAAAUAAAAGAAGAGAUAUCCGCACACUGUGUCUAAAGCUCCCAGUUUAAUGGUGGGUGAUACACAACGUUUCGACCACUCAGGUCUUCGUCAGGCGUCUUAAACCCUCAGCUUCCCUGGAAUCAUUUUGGCUUCAACACAAUUGUAUUGAUAUCCCUCUCACUCUUCCUUGGUGUCUUAAAACCGAUCAUUGUGUGCAUGAAAUCCUUCACGUACACACGAUACAAUUUUGCAACAUAUGCAGUAGCCAUGGACAAGUACAGAAACCACAUCUUCCCCUGUCUUUAAUGCAUCUUAACUCUCAGUUCCUAUAGAAACAUCUCUUCCUCUGAUGGUAGACAAAGCAGCUUUUUCAGCAAUUUUGCUGGACUAUGUUAGAAAUUAGGUAAAUUGUGGUUGCCCAGAAGGAAAAAAAAAAAUGAUCAAAAAGAUUGUUUUUAUUAUUCAAAAUUUGAAACUUGUUCGAAUUCGAAACAACUCGAAACUUCUUGCUUAUACUGUAUAUAAAUAAGACAGUUGAGAGCGACAGGAAGUGAGUGUUGAAAAGUUUUCAAACUGAAUAAGCCAAUAAGAGCAGAGCAGCAUCACAUCUUAAGUUCCAGAGGGUGUAUAUAGUGGUGCAGGAAAUAGAGCAAGAUCAGUAAUUGAUGAGCAGAUUCUGAUUAAGGUCAACUGUGAAAGGUUCAGCACAAUGAUUUUUGAAUAUGUAAAACCUAUCCUGAAAGCAGAUGCUUUGAUGUGUAUCAUCCUUGUAGUAGUGGAGUUGCUGCUAGAGAAUGCGUUUGCCUGUCCUUGCAAUCAGAACAACAUUUUUUUCUGCUAUGGGCUUCUUUCUGGUUCAAGUCUCAUCAUCAUUUUUGUCUCAUUGCUCAUCCAGACUCCUCACUACAAGAAACUGAAGGACUGUUGUGGUGGCUCUCUUUUUAACUGUUUGGUCGGCAUAUUUAUGUCAGCGUUGAUUUCCUUGUUAACUUGGCUCACUGUGUGGUACCUUGAUGGACAUUACUCUGUCUGCAAGUGGAGCACCUGGGAUGGCGUUUGGACAGAGAACUCUUUGCAAGCCCCCAACAAAUGGUGCAAGCCUUUAGGUGGCAACAAUACCUUCAUCAAACUGCAAGAACUGAACUCUACAAAGUGGUCCACUGAAUCUCAGGAAAUAUCCAUCAAGCUCUUCGUUGGCCUUACUGGGUGUAUACUUGUCUACACUUCUAUGCUGAUUUAUAUUAGUUAUAAUGAUGGGGAAAAUGUAUGAAUGCAGUGCCUAUUGGUACACACAUGUGUAAAUAAAUUAAUGAAUAGACUUUAUUGUCAUGUCAGGCGUAAAAACGGUCCUCAGUCUCACCAAUACAAUAGACAGUACAAUUUACACAGUAUAGACACAAAUACAUAAAACUGUUCACUGAGACACAACAUAUCCACAGGAUACAUAAUUUUAAAUACAAGUAGGUCUUGGUUGCACACACACAGGCAUGCUCACUCUCACUCCCUCACAGACACACACACACACACACUCCUUCCAGACCUGGCCAAACUAGGCUCCCAUGUUUAUUUUUUCCCGGGUUUAUUGACCAUACUAAAUCCAUUUGGUAAGAAAGAACCUUUUUUUCUUUUUCUAUUUUUUGACUUUGCUUAAAGCAGCACUAAAGAUUUGUUCUGGGGGUCCCCCUAGAGUUGAGAAGUGCAAUAACAAAGGCAUGUGUUCCUACAGAAAACUUCCUAGGCUAUUUUUACAAGCGAUAAGACCUGCUCAGAGUGCGGCAGAAGUGCUUUUCCCCUUUUAAGAGUGUAUGUGCCAUCAAAAUGAUUUCCAGAAUGACUCUUAAAAGCAUGCAUAACUAGUAUUGCUGUACAAAUGCUGUAAAAUAUGCUAACAUCUGUCCAAUGACAUGCCAUUUAAUACCUUAUAAUGUGAACUCUGGUCAUCAGUUCAUGAACAUACAGAAAACUAUUGUACUAAAUUGACAAAUAAAUGUUAAAAAAAUCUU